ACCUUGGUCAGAAUUUGUUGAUUUGUUUCAUAGUAAUAACAAAACAGAAGUAAAGUCAACCAUUGGCCUUAGUGGACAUCAGCGUUCUCUGUCCCAGUUUAAUGUGUGGAUUACGUUUCUGUCUGUCGUUAGUUUGUCAGUGUUGGAAAACGGCGUGCAGAGGGCGGUACCCGAAGCUGCCGGAGCGACACCUCUGCCUCUGGUUCGCCACAGCGCCCCCUGCAGACCGAAGGCUAGAUGUGGCCUCCACAGAUUGGACAUACGAAGAGCGGAAGAGCAGAGCAGAAAAGUGGGCGGAGCCUUCAGCAUAAGAGGUGGGGCAGAAGAGGUAUAAACCAAUCCGACAGUGAGAAAGCUGAAAAGGGGAGUGGCCAACCAGAGUGUUUCCAUGGUGACUGGGUGUCUGCGAUGCCACUGAGAGGCCAAAGGUCGCUCACUCGCCGGUCCAUCUGCCACGCUGCGUCUGCAGGAGCCAAUCAGAGAGGCCAAAAAAAUGGACCAAUCAGAGGAGGGGAGCGCAGGUCAUCAGACAGAAUCAGGUGCUGAGGGGUCGGAGGUCGCAGACCCAGGAAGGCCGGGUCCAGGUUCAAAGCCGUAGCCAGGGCUCCCAGACCCGGAUUAUUCACCAAACAGAAUCCGGUCAGAGACUCGAUCUGUUGCCAGCGGUGCAGCUUCUCCCGAAGAGCCGCCGUCACCUCAGCCAAGGCCUGUCUGCCGAGGUGACAUAGAUAACCCCACUGUCCUGCAUGAGGCUGCAGGGGAUUGUGGGUCUGAGGUGACUCACUUGGCAGAGAGGAUCUUAUGGUCGACAUCAUCCAGUGAAGAGCUGUGAGCCACAUGGAAGGUCCCGAACAGAGAGCUGCGUUUCUUCUUGAUCUUCUCUGCCUGAAAAACAACCAUCAUCAUGAAACUCACUGUCAUUUAGUGCUGUCUUUAUCUCUGUCUAGCUCAUACUUUCUCUCA